rnacentral:SRP_RNA from 1 species
CCGUGCUAGACGGGGAGGUAGCGGUGCCCUGUUACCCGCAACCCGCUAUAGCGGGGUUGAAGUCCUGCUCGAGGCCGGGCUCGUUCGGGGUCAGCCCGGCGUGCGCGAUGAUGAUGACCGGAUCCCGCGCGACGGGAUCCUGGAAACCCCGCCAGGCCCGGAAGGGAGCAACGGUAACCGGGAGAUCCCGGGUGCCGCGGGGUAAUCCGGUCGGAGUCAGCGGCGCCGCCAGCGCCCGGGCGGUCAGGUCGGAAGCAGGUGCACGG